ensembl:processed_transcript
GGCUGUCCUAUCUUCGAGCAGUCCAGGAGAAUGGCUCCUCCCUGAUGGCAUUCUGGUUGUGGCAAAAAUGAGCGACACUGUGUUCUUCUCCUUUGUUAUCUUCCUGGGCAGCCAUUGGGGCACAGAGCCCCUGUCUAUCCCUGUGAUUGAAGGUAUCAUCACCAGUAUACUGUCAUGGCAACUGGAGGGAUGGAAGACCCCCAGGGAGCCUCAGCCAGGCUGGCUGGUGGGCCCUUCCUGCCAAGGAUGGGACAGUGAGCCCUCCUCAUGUCCUAUUUCCUUUACCUGAGCUUGCCUACCUGUGACGCUCCCUCAAAUUCUAGAGCUUUGUAAAACUAUCCCAUAUUUAGAAAUAUCAGCCCUUUAUUAAAAAAUUUUUUUCAAACCUCU